CAAAAACUCAGGCUACAUACAACUACGCAAAGGGCCUAACAUUGUAAGCCUUUAGGGACUGCUUCAAUCAUUCGCUGACACAAUAACACUUUUCAGCAAAGAACCCCUAUGGCCCUCAACAUCUACUAUUAACCUUUAUAUUAUCGCUCCAACCCUGGCCCUUUCUUUCGCUCUUCUAUUGUGAACCCCCAUCCCUAUACCAGACCCUCUAAUUAAUUUUAAAAUAGGCCUCCUAUUUUUACUAACCUUAUCAAGCCUAGCCGUCUACUCUAUUCUAUGAUCAGGAAGAGCAAUUAAAUUCAAAUUAUGUACUAAUUGGCACAUUACAAACUGUAGCCCAAACAACUUCAUAUGAAGUAACCCUAGCCAUUGUCCUGCUAUCAAUUCUACAGAUAAGUGGCUCGUUUAACUUAUAUUCACUCAUCACAAUGCAAGAAAUCCUCUGACUGCUCCUAUCAUCAUGGCCCCUAGACAUGAUAUGACUUGUCUUCACACUAGCAGAAACUAA
rnacentral:lncRNA from 1 species